rnacentral:rRNA from 1 species
CUUUGGGAUAACCCUCGGAAACGGGGGCUAAUACCGAAUGUUCACUGUCGAUCGCAUGGUUGGUGGUGGAAAGUUUUUCGGCUGGGGAUGGGCUCGCGGCCUAUCAGCUUGUUGGUGGGGUGAUGGCCUACCAAGGCGACGACGGGUAGCCGGCCUGAGAGGGCGACCGGCCACACUGGGACUGAGACACGGCCCAGACUCCUACGGGAGGCAGCAGUGGGGAAUAUUGCACAAUGGGCGGAAGCCUGAUGCAGCGACGCCGCGUGAGGGAUGACGGCCUUCGGGUUGUAAACCUCUUUCAGCCCCGACGAAGCGCAAGUGACGGUAGGGGCAGAAGAAGCGCCGGCCAACUACGUGCCAGCAGCCGCGGUAAGACGUAGGGCGCAAGCGUUGUCCGGAUUUAUUGGGCGUAAAGAGCUCGUAGGCGGCUUGUUGCGUCGACUGUAAAACCCACGGCUCAACUGUGUGGUCUGCAGUCGAUACGGGCAGGCUAGAGUUCGGUAGGGGAGACUGGAAUUCCUGGUGUAGCGGUGAAAUGCGCAGAUAUCAGGAGGAACACCGGUGGCGAAGGCGGGUCUCUGGGCCGAUACUGACGCUGAGGAGCGAAAGCGUGGGGAGCGAACAGGAUUAGAUACCCUGGUAGUCCACGCUGUAAACGUUGGGCGC